rnacentral:rRNA from 1 species
AGUGAACGCUGGCGGUAGGCCUAACACAUGCAAGUCGAACGGCAGCACAGUAAGAGCUUGCUCUUACGGGUGGCGAGUGGCGGACGGGUGAGGAAUACAUCGGAAUCUACUUUUUCGUGGGGGAUAACGUAGGGAAACUUACGCUAAUACCGCAUACGACCUACGGGUGAAAGCAGGGGAUCUUCGGACCUUGCGCGAUUGAAUGAGCCGAUGUCGGAUUAGCUAGUUGGCGGGGUAAAGGCCCACCAAGGCGACGAUCCGUAGCUGGUCUGAGAGGAUGAUCAGCCACACUGGAACUGAGACACGGUCCAGACUCCUAAGGGAGGCAGCAGUGGGGAAUAUUGGACAAUGGGCGCAAGCCUGAUCCAGCCAUACCGCGUGGGUGAAGAAGGCCUUCGGGUUGUAAAGCCCUUUUGGUGGGAAAGAAAAGCAGCAGGUUAAUACCCCGCUGUUCUGACGGUACCCAAAGAAUAAGCACCGGCUAACUUCGUG